rnacentral:rRNA from 1 species
CCGAGUUUACAACUCCCAAACCCAAUGUGAACCAUACCAAACUGUUGCCUCGGCGGGGUCACGCCCCGGGUGCGUCGCAGCCCCGGAACCAGGCGCCCGCCGGAGGGACCAACCAAACUCUUUUCUGUAGUCCCCUCGCGGACGUUAUUUCUUACAGCUCUGAGCAAAAAUUCAAAAUGAAUCAAAACUUUCAACAACGGAUCUCUUGGUUCUGGCAUCGAUGAAGAACGCAGCGAAAUGCGAUAAGUAAUGUGAAUUGCAGAAUUCAGUGAAUCAUCGAAUCUUUGAACGCACAUUGCGCCCGCCAGUAUUCUGGCGGGCAUGCCUGUCCGAGCGUCAUUUCAACCCUCGAACCCCUCCGGGGGGUCGGCGUUGGGGACCUCGGGAGCCCCUAAGACGGGAUCCCGGCCCCGAAAUACAGUGGCGGUCUCGCCGCAGCCUCUCCUGCGCAGUAGUUUGCACAACUCGCACCGGGAGCGCGGCGCGUCCACGUCCGUAAAACACCCAACUUUCUGAAAUGUUGACCUCGGAUCAGGUAGGAAUACCCGCUGAACUUAAGCAUAUCAA